GUUUUUUUUUUAGCAUUGUAAAUAGCUUACUAUAGUUGAAUGUCUGGGGAAGCAAAGCAACACAGUCAGGGAGACAUUUAUAGUUUUAACCGUAACCGAAUGGGGACAUACAUCUGUAACAUGGCUCACUGCCUGACUACCUCAGGAUGACGUGUACAUACUUUACAACACAGGUCUCAGGUGUGAACAGGACUAUUGGGCCAAAAUGACCUCUUGCAGAGGGUGUUGGUUCAGCCCUCUUACUCAGAGUUAAACACACGCCAGCAUUUUGCACCAAAACCACGCAACUCAACCAAAAAAACAAACAAAAGAAAAGGACUUGACAUAGUGUGGCAUGUUUACCUUUCGUCUGGCUCUCAGUUUUCUGGCUGUCAUUGUGGUUUUAUAUCAUCCGCAUUCCACAAUGACACAGCUCUUUUAAACUGCAAACGCCUCUCACAGUUUUACUGUAACUCAGUGAAACACACCUCAGGAAUUUUAGCUGAGUCUUUAGCUCCACGUUAACAAAGCACGCCCGUCUGAGGAAAGGGUGGAAUUAAAAUAAUUGAACCAGCCUCCAUGUUUGUCUAACCUUUCAUUAAAUGGAAAUAUUGUAAGUUAUCCACGGCCGCAUUAUCUUUAUCGUUCUUAUCUAAAUUAGUGGAAAAGAUCAAUAGGCGCGCAAUAAAUAACGCAAUGAUAGAUUCAGAUGUACAAACAGUUUUAUGGUUGUCUUUUAGACUCUAUUCUAGCAACUGCACUUUUUUUUCUCUAUUCGUCAUUCCGUUUUUUAAUCUGCUUUCUGUAGCGUUUAGCCUUUGUUGCUUUGCGGCUUCUCUUCUGAUUUUUCUGUUCACCAUUUGCUGUUAUUAUAUGUUUGCCAUUUAUGAAAUUGUUGUCACUCAUAAUAAUCACCUGAGUGUAGCUGGACUUGAACUGAUUAGUGUAAAAUUUGAUUUGAACAAUAGUGUAAAUCAGAUAUGCUGAGUAACCACACUGUGUUUUCGAUGACUGUAAGCUUUGAGGGACAAUGACAAAACAAUCUUUUGCUUUCUCUUUCAAGCUGACUGCAGACUGCACAAGAAAUGCGCGAUAACUUAGUUUUCUUUUAAGUGAGCAAAAACAGCACCACGUGCACUGGAUGACUUCAACACUACACCAAGGUUUGUUAAUCGCAAUAUUAUCAGUCAUUCUCGCAGCUUACUCAGGGUGAAAGAAUGUAUGAAACUGGACGCAAAAGGUCAAGCAGGUUAAUUUGGCCAAAUUGAUUGAUUGGUUGGGAACUGACAAACGAUAAGUUCCAAGGGCUUAAAGAUGAGGAAAUCACCUUAAAGCAGGUGGUCUUUAGCCUGGGAAAGAUCUGCUGUUAUUCACAAAAUGUGAUUAAGUUCAAAAUCCAGUCAUUCUCGAGUGGCUGCACUUUUUUUUUUCUUUCUUUCUCUUUGUCUGCAGAAAUUGGACAGCUUGGAAAUGCACUGAAUGAGUCAUAUUUGUAUACGACCCCGGUUUAUAGCAAGUAAAGUUUAGGAUUUGUAUAAAAAUACAAAUGUAAUUCAUAUGAACUGUUUCACUUCUCAGUGACUAACUGGUAUGUGUGAGUCUUGAAGUAAAAGCAGCUGCAAUGUGCCUAACUUUACAAGAGGUGGCUCCACAUGAACAAUUCUUGGCAGUGACCACAGGGAGAAAAGCACUGUCAGAUCAUCAGACCAAGUCAUUUUUAUGAUCUCCAUACUUGUAACUGAAUUAUCAAACUUGUCACAUGAGAUUAAUUAAGGUAGCUGAUUGUGUGCUAAUAAAGUACAGAGCGAUCUGUUUUAAUCAGUGUGAAACGUUUUAUGUUUUUUAAAGCAGUUAUGAUGACAAAUUCAGCGUGUCUGUUGGUUUACCUCCACUGACUCCUUGGUAACCUUUUGUUGCUGUAACAUUUUAGCGCCGUGUCUCUUCGAUCUUCUCUUACUACCAGCUUCUCUCGCUCUUCCUGUCUCACAGAGAAUAUAUGGACAUUUUCUGUAGGUGGUUCUUUGGCAGAGCCCGAGAGCCACACAGAGCAUGCCUUAAUGUGCUCGUGUCUCCAAAUUCCAGAAAUCAAGAGUUAAAUCUGCCCCAUC
ensembl:lncRNA